AUAAGCAUGGUAAGGGCGGACGGGGGAUCCCUUGGCAGUCGAGGGCGAUGAAGGGCGUGGCUAGCUGCGAUAAGCCUCGGGAAGCCGCUGAGCAGGCUACGAUCCGAGGAUGCCCGAAUGGGGAAACCCGCUGGGCCGUUGAGGCUCAGCAUCCAGGGCCGAAAACCCAAGUAAGCCCUGGAGGCGAACCCCGCGAAGUGAAACAUCUCAGUAGCGGGAGGAGAAGAGAUCAACCGAGAUUCCCCCAGUAGCGGCGAGCGAACGGGGAACAGCCCAAACCGCGUGGGUGCAAGGCCACAGCCGUUGCCCAUGCGGGGUUGUGGGAUGAUGACGGAGGUCACUGUGGAGGCCUCGGGAAGUUACAAAGGCCGUCUCUAGCCGAACAGCCAGCAAAGCCACUGGAAAGGGCGACCGUAGAGGGCGAUAGUCCCGUAGGCGAAAGGGAAGGCCCUUCCUGGUCAUCAUCCCGAGUAGCGUCGGACACGUGAAAUCCGGCGCGAAGCUGGGGGGACCACCCUCCAAGGCUAAAUACCAACGACUGACCGAUAGCGCACCAGUACCGCGAGGGAAAGGUGAAAAGGACCCCGGGAGGGGAGUGAAAUAGAACGUGAAACCGUCCGCCUACAGUGCAGUGGGAGCCCGAAACCCACCCCGCAAGGGGUGGAGGGCGGGUGACCGCGUGCCUUUUGCAGUAUGAGCCGGCGAGUUGUGCUCCGUGGCGAGGUUAAGCCCUUCUGGGGCGGAGCCGUAGCGAAAGCGAGUCCGAACAGGGCGUCUAGUCACGGGGUACAGACCCGAAGCCAGGUGAUCUACCCAUGGGCAGGAUGAAGUGCGCUUGACCGCGUACGGAGGUCCGAACCCGUAGGUCGUGCAACGCCUUGGGAUGACCUGUGGGUAGGGGUGAAAAGCC
rnacentral:rRNA from 1 species